rnacentral:rRNA from 1 species
CUGGCUCAGGAUGAACGCUAGCUACAGGCUUAACACAUGCAAGUCGAGGGGCAGCGAGAGGAAAGCUUGCUUCCUGUCGGCGACCGGCGCACGGGUGAGUAACGCGUAUCCAACCUUCCCCAUAGUAGAGGAUAGCCCGGCGAAAGUCGGAUUAAUACUCUAUGUUGUGUCAUGAGGACAUCUGAAUAACACCAAAGAUUUAUCGCUAUGGGAUGGGGAUGCGUCUGAUUAGGUAGUCGGCGGGGUAACGGCCCACCGAGCCGACGAUCAGUAGGGGUUCUGAGAGGAAGGUCCCCCACAUUGGUACUGAGACACGGACCAAACUCCUACGGGAGGCAGCAGUGAGGAAUAUUGGUCAAUGGACGAGAGUCUGAACCAGCCAAGUAGCGUGCAAGGAUGACUGCCCUAUGGGUUGUAAACUGCUUUUAUGCGGGAAUAAAGUCAGGUACGUGUACCUGUUUGUAUGUACCGCAUGAAUAAGGACCGGCUAAUUCCGUGCCAGCCGCCGC